ACUAUUACCAAACCGGGUCAUUAACCGGAAUAAUAAAUCGGAAUUAAAAAGUACCAUUCAAUUUUUAUAGGAUAAGAAAUUGGUUUUCUAGAUUAUUGGUUUAGAAUCCGGAAAAAAUGGUCAUUUAAAUCAGUUGUUUAUUUUCGUUGAUUUAAAGCAUAAACUAUGUAUCUGAUUAGAAUUUAGGAAAUUUUGGUAAUAGUAGUCUUAUUUGAGUUUUGGUUUUUUUAAAUGACAUUAAAAAAACUUCUCGUGCGCAACGCCAUUUACGUCACAUGGAAAGACGUAUUUGCCCUUGAACGAGGACAAUAAUCCGUUGAAGGAAGCUGUGGACAUUAACACAGAACAUGUCAGCCAAUUGUCCAUCCAAAAUAAUGAACAAACUGUAGACAAUUCUGGUUGUGAGGUAACAGUGGACAAAAUAAAUACAUCUGUACCAGAAAAGUCCACCGAACCUAAUGAAGGUGUGAUGUCAAUAAUUUAACUUGCGAUGAAGGAAAAGAAGGAGCUGCUGCUGAAGAGUCAAGCUGGAGAUUUGAUUUGACGAUUUUGCCGACAACUUGAUUGAGAUGGAAGUUCAGUUGCAAGGAAGAAAUAAUUUGUGUGGAGGAUCAAGAAGUUAACAACUUCAACACAGCCAAAAAUCUUCAAAUCUCGAGCAGCAAAAGUUUCUCAAAUUCACGCAAUGAAUAUGACAAUGAAACUAGAGAAACCAAAUCCUCAACAGAAUCCGUCGCUUUAUUAGAAGCUGAAGAAGGUCAUGACUGGGAGCUCGAGUACAUAACCAAGUUCAUAGUCUCUGGCCAACUGAUGAUAAAAGAAUUCUCCUUGGGAAUGGCUACUGAUAUUACCUCUGAGCUUUUUCGAUGAAAUUGAAGGUAAGAGAGAUGCCCAGAGUAAGAUUGAGAGAAAAACACUGGUCGAAUUUGUGCUUAUCAAAUGCGAGCAAAUGUUCAUGGGAAGCUAUAGAGGAUUGUUGGGGAGAGAAGUCAUUUUUCUUGAAAGAAGAGAGAUUUUGACAGAAAAAGUGAAGAAAGAGGUUCAGGGAUCGAAGAAACCAUGGUCCCAAGAGUUCGCUCAUUACACACUUGCAUCGAAUUGGAAUUAGAUUUGAGAAAAACUUUUCAAUCCCCAAAAAUUUUAUGUAUAAGAAAAACACACAUUUCAAUUUUCUAGCUGAGAUUGAACCUUAGGCUCGCCGAAGAAGAAGAAAACGAUCAACGUUGUGACGGUGGAUUGGAAUUCAUUGUUGUGGAGGUUCUCGGUUCUUUUUUUAUCAAUCUCUCGCUAUCUCUCUUUCUUAAUGAAGAGAAGAAGGAUGUUCCAGUGGAUUCAGAGGUUUGACUUUACUAAACCAAACCGAUAUAGGCCAUUCAAAUCCAACAGAAACCUUGGGCCAUUCGAAACCCAUCACUUCUCAGUCAUUAACGUCUGCAACAAGCAUAAAAGCGACACACAAAGUGUGUGUUCUAAGCAGUAAAUGGUUUUGGUAAUCAGAAAUUUAAACAAAUUAUAUAAUUAA